CGGGCCUAGAGAGGCCUCUCCGACCAGGCACCCCUUGCGCAUGGACAGCAACGUACAGUGCUCGGCGCCCUCUCAAGGGGUCAGGAGACCGGUGACCUCUGAUCUCUGACCUCGUCAGGGCUGUGCACAAAAUGAGGCGUGACCUUGUGAACUUUGGCUCCAGUGCGACUCUGCUGGACACCGUGGUAUGAACUCUGACCCUGGCUGCCUAUCAGGCCUGGGCUCACUUUGACACUCUGCAGGAGAAUGAUGGCCUUCUGACCUCACCUGCCUAGCCCAGGUGCUGCUAACAUGAGGGACAAGGGGUGUCAUAGUGAUGCCCUGACCUUUGACCCUGUGAAGCUGCCACAGGAUCAGAAUGUGGUACUGAGGGGUAGAAUCAAUGGGAAAAGAUCUCACUGCUAACAUGAUUAGGUUCAAACAAAUGAUAACCUACAAGUUAGCAGCCUUGGUAGACCAACAGGUUCAUAGACGGGCCCACUGUGAUCAUCUAGUUUGUCCUCCUGUAUAACACAGACCAUAGAACUUCCCCAAAAUAAUUCCUAGAGCAGUACCUUUUAGAAAAAAACAUCCAAUCUUGAUUUAAAAAUUGUCAGUGAUGGAGAAUCCACCACGAUGCUUGGUUAUCAACAUCCUUCUUGAACUGUGGGCACCAGAACUGGACCCAGUAUUCCAGCAGUGGUCGUACCAGUGCCAAAUGCAGAGUAGAGAGAAAACUUACAUCUCCAAAAGAAGAAAGAUAAUCUACAAAAUGUGCUCAGGAAGUCUGUCAUGACUGGAUUUAUGCAAAUUUACUCUAAAGGUUGGAAACCACAUUAGAGGCAAGUCUCAUUUCCCACUAUAUUUCUGACUGAGCCUGAGCCAAAGAUUUUAUCAGUUUGGUUACAAAGAGAUGAGGCUCUUAUUUAAAGGGACCUUGUCAGUUUAAAAAGCAUAAACAAAUGCCCUUACUUGUGUUACUAAUACCUUGAGUUGAUUAAAAUUGAAAUGUUUAAAAGUCUUUGUUUUUACCAUCUGUGAUGGCUAUUUACUCUGUGCACUUGUCUCUGAUUAGACACAGAAAACAGACCAUGCAGUUUUGCUUUCAGGUUCUCAUUCAGGAACACAGUGAUGUAAUCUCCCAGUUUCCAAAAACAGCAGUGGCAAUUUUAAAUGUAAACAGAAAACUAUUUUCAUUUUUUCAUCAAAUGUAACAAACAUUUGUAUUCAUGUCUGGCUGUGUAAAAGUUACAAAACCUACAUUUUGGACCUACAUUACUUACUCAUGUUCUUUUAUGGAUUCCACUUAUUUAUGGCAAUAUUUGUUGCAGUUUAAAUAUUAAAAACAAAAGCUACCUAAAACCCCAAUUCUGCAAUGAGCUCCAUGCAAGCAGAACCCUACACUUGCAUGAGAUUCAUAGCAGGAUCAGGAUCAAAUUGCUGCCUGUCCCAGAUAUUAACAACAUUGAAACACUUUUGUUGUUUUUAAAUAUCUGACAUGAAGUCUGGAAAUAUUCCUUAAAAUGCUAUUGCAUUAAUCAAAACAGAUAUAGAUUUUAAAUGCCUUACUGUGAAGCUGCCAGGAAAAAAAUUAAAACAUCUGUUUGCUCCUAUCAUACAUGAGUAACAGA